rnacentral:rRNA from 1 species
AGCAGCCGCGGUAAUUCCAGCUCCAAUAGCGUAUAUUAAAGUUGUUGCAGUUAAAAAGCUCGUAGUUGAAUUUCGGGGUUAGUAGAUUGGUCAUGCCUCUGGUAUGCACUGGUCUUACUGAUUCCUCCUUCCUGAUGAACCGUAAUGCCAUUAAUUUGGUGUUGCGGGGAAACUGGACUGUUACUUUGAAAAAUUAGAGUGUUUAAAGCAGGCUAACGCUUGAAUACAUUAGCAUGGAAUAAUGAAAUAGGACGUUCGAUCUUAUUUUGUUGGUUUCUAGGAUUGACGUAAUGAUUAAUAGGGAUAGUUGGGGGCAUUAGUAUUCAAUUGUCAGAGGUGAAAUUCUUGGAUUUAUUGAAGACUAACUACUGCGAAAGCAUUUGCCAAGGAUGUUUUCUAUUAAUACAAGAACGAAAGUUAGGGGAUCGAAGACGAUCAGAUACCGUCGUAGUCUUAACCAUAAACUAUGCCGACUAGGGAUCGGAUGAUGUUAAUUUUUAAUUGACUCAUUCGGUCGCCU